rnacentral:lncRNA from 1 species
GUCCUGGGGGUCCAUCUGAGGCUGUAACAAGAGAGUCUAGCCUGAUGAUGUGCCUUUCUAAAGGGCGAGGGCUUCUGGAGGCAGGAGGGAGAAUGGUUGGGGGGUGACAAUGAAGAGCAAGGAGGUCACCACCUCCCCUUCAGGCCCCUUGGUACAAGGGUAGUGGGACAGAAAACAAACCCAACCCAAGACGGCUACAGUGGAAGCUUGCUCUCAGAAAGGAGCCAGGUUUUGGUUAAAGGGAGAAUAGGAAAGGAAUAUUUAAAGAAGCUGAUGAUAUUUACUUUCUAUGCCCAGCACUCAGCUGGACACUGAGACAGUGAACAAAAGAGUGAAAUAUCCUCCCUCCUGGGCCUUAUGUUCCACCUGGUGAGACAGAGUAAACAAGAUUGAAAAAGUCAAAUAUAUAGUCUACUAGAUAGUGCUAAAUAUUAGGGGAAAAAAUAAAGCAGUGAAGAAAGAUCGAAGUGUCAGUAAUUGGGAGUUAAAACUAUAAUAGUUAGCUAAGACAGGCUCCCUGAGAAGAAGACAUUGAGUAAAGGCCUGAAGGAAAUUGGAGAGCUGACCAGAGACCUGGGGGUAAGAAGAACAGCAACUGCAAAGGCCCUGAGGUGACAGCAUGCCCACAAUGUCUGAGGAAGAGCGAGGAGGUGACACUGAUGCUAAUGCUGCUGGUCGGGGACCAGUUUUGAGAACCACAGGAGAAGUGCAUUACAGUCAGUUUGCCCCGCAGAAUGGAGCACCCAUUUGUGCCUCAUGAUGGUGAAUUCACUGAAGGCCGCCAGCACGGCUGUGUUUUUGUCUCUGUCAUGCUCAGCUGCACUGGAACCGGCACAGAGCAGGCAGGAAAACUGAAGAUGGAGGCAGAGACUGCAGUCAGGCAGCUGCAAGGUGAGGAACACCACGGACUGACGGCACCAGCAGAAACGAGGAAGAGGCAAGAAAGGAUUCUACCCAGAGCCUCAGAGAGAGCAUGGCCCUGCUGACACCUCGAUUUCAGACUUGUAGGCUCCAGAACUGGAGAUAAUAAAGCUCUGUUUUUCUAAGCCA